CAGGCCCUGAAUGAAAGCUGAUGGCAUUCCUGUAGCCAUUGGCUUCAAACAGGAUCUGAGAAGAACAUCUUUCCACGAUCUGUUGGCUGUUUUGCAUUUUGGAAUGGAACAGCCAUUUUGUUAAGGAGAGACAUCC